UGGUCAAUGGACGAGAGUCUGAACCAGCCAAGUCGCGUGAAGGAUGACUGCCCUAUGGGUUGUAAACCUCUUUUAUAAGGGAAGAAUAAGUUCUACGUGUAGAAUGAUGCCUGUACCUUAUGAAUAAGCAUCGGCUAACUCCGUGCCAGCAGCCGCGGUAAUACGGAGGAUGCGAGCGUUAUCCGGAUUUAUUGGGUUUAAAGGGUGCGUAGGCGGUUUAUUAAGUUAGUGGUUAAAUAUUUGAGCUAAACUCAAUUGUGCCAUUGAUACUGGUAAACUUGAGUACAGACGAGGUAGGCGGAAUAAGUGAAGUAGCGGUGAAAUGCAUAGAUAUAACUUAGAACUCCGAUAGCGAAGGCAGCUUACCAGACUGUAACUGACGCUGAUGCACGAGAGCGUGGGUAGCGAACAGGAUUAGAUACCCUGGUAGUCCACGCCGUAAACGAUGCUCACUGGUUCUGUGCGAUAUAUUGUACGGGAUUAAGCGAAAGUAUUAAGUGAGCCACCUGGGGAGUACGUCGGCAACGAUGAAACUCAAAGGAAUUGACGGGGGCCCGCACAAGCGGAGGAACAUGUGGUUUAAUUCGAUGAUACGCGAGGAACCUUACCUGGGUUUAAAUGGGAAAUGUCGUAUUUGGAAACAGAUAUUCUCUUCGGAGCGUUUUUCAAGGUGCUGCAUGGUUGUCGUCAGCUCGUGCCGUGAGGUGUCGGGUUAAGUCCCAUAACGAGCGCAACCCUUACCGUUAGUUGCUAGCAUGUAAUGAUGAGGACUCUAACGAGACUGCCACCGUAAGGUGAGAGGAAGGCGGGGAUGACGUCAAAUCAGCACGGCCCUUACACCCAGGGCUACACACGUGUUACAAUGGCGGGUACAGAGGGCCGCUACCAGGUGACUGGAUGCCAAUCUCAAAAGCCGGUCGUAGUUCGGAUUGGAGUCUGCAACCCGACUCCAUGAAGCUGGAUUCGCUAGUAAUCGCGCA
rnacentral:rRNA from 1 species